rnacentral:rRNA from 1 species
CGUGAGUGAUGACGGCCUUAGGGUUGUAAAGCUCUUUCGCACACGAGGAUAAUGACGGUAGUGUGAGAAGAAGCCCCGGCUAACUUCGUGC